rnacentral:tRNA from 1 species
UUCCUGGUGGCUCAGUGGGCUAAGGACCUGGCACUGUCACUGCUAUGGCACGGGUUCGAUCCCUGGCCAGGGAA